rnacentral:lncRNA from 1 species
AUAACUUUUGAAUAAUCGAAUCGCUAAUUAAUGAAAAUAACGUACUAAUUUAAUUUAUUUCUUUCGCUAAUUUAAAUUUGACCGUAAUUUAUGCAAUAGCCAAAAAAUAGAAAACUGAUAUAUGCAAACACAUUUUGAUUUCGAUUAAUAUAGGAAAGUUACUAUAAAUUUAUUUAAAUUCACAUGGCUAAUUAAAAAUCACACAUGAAAUUUGAGGGAUUUACUUGAGAAACAUUAUUAAACAAGUUAAAAAAAAAUCUAACCAAUUACACAAGUUGUAAAUUAUUAUUAUAGAUUUACUUUCAUAAAAUUUACUCCAAUUACACAAGUUAAAAAAAAAAAAUCAAAAUUUAUCUUCUAUAAACAUGCACAAUGUCCUUCAAUCUUUCAUUAUAUAACAUGAAAUAUUUAUGAUUAUAACUUUUACCUUUCUAAUAUUUAUAGAUUAAAAAUUAUAAUCUCUAUUUAAUCUAUUCAUUUCGCGCAUGGCGCGGGUACCACCUAGUUCUGACUAUUUGAAGUGGUAUUAAGUCCGUUUUAAACAUAUUAGGAAACUCAAAGAUUGGAC